GCAGUUUGUGAUUGUCUAUUCAUGAUAUUUAGAUAGAUCGGAUUCGUUCCUUUAUAGCAUACAUGGACUUGAAUUAUUUUGUCAUUGAUGAAUAUGCGUAAUGUACUUUAAUUUGUUGAGAUUUCAAAUGAGGUUCUAGGAAUCAAAAUGGAACUCUCAUGUGGCUGACAUCGGUUUUAUAUUAUAUUUUUAGAUGAAAUUUCUAUAUUUACUGAUCUCAAGAUAUAUUUGAUUUCAUUUUUGUCUCUUGAGACAAGGAGCGAGAAAACUGUUGAUUUUGCGAAGAACAAUUGUCACUGUAUUGCUUUCAAGGCGGAUGUUCCAUAGACAAACAAGUAUGCAAUCAACACUGCAUGAUUUCAACUGGUUUCCAAUGUACGUAGCAUCUCUAUCUGGUUAUUUUGCUUUUUGGUUUGUGCACUCAUGGAACGUGAAAGAAUUGAACCAAACAAUUUGCAGGGUGAAUAUUUAAUAUUUCAUUUUUUAUUCUACCUCAUGAAAACUCUCUAGAUAAUUACCUGUGGUUCUCAUAAAGUAUAGUUGUGAGAUAAGAAUUUUGGUGCAUCUAAUCAACUACACUGAGAAUGAAGCCGCAUACAACAUGCACCCCUUAUGUUGUACAAGAACUGGUUAGUGUAUUAAGACAUACUAAGGUAAUCAGGUGUCUUCACUCCAUGCAUAUGAUACUAAAUUGUAGUGUUGCUUGAAAAUCAUUUAAAUUAUAGGUUGAUUGUCAUAUUUUUAGUGUAAUCAUAAUAUCUUUAGAAUUUGCAUUUCUGGUUGUAACAUCAGUCGAGGCGUGCAUUGCUUGUGCACGCUUACUAUAUUCCUUGUGUAUGAAGCUGCAAUUGAAAUAUAUACGCUAUAGCAUGUAUGUGAGCUUACAUUAUUUGUUUUAUAAUUGCUGAUUAUGAUUAGAAAUAACAUGUAGCAUGGAAAGAAGGAACGACAUGAGCUAAAAGAUGCAGAAAAAGAGGAUUAGGCCCGCAGAUUGAUGUCAAGGAGAACAUUGAGCUAUGAGGGUGUUUUUUUGGGCAACACCGGCGAUGGUCUCAGCAGCUAAAUGAUGGUGAACUGUAGCUGUUGUAAUAUUGUGAGAAAUAUAUUAUGAUUAAUUUUAACUUACCUAUCCGAUUUUUUUCAUUGCGAUGAUCUGAUAGGCCCCAUAUAGGUGUUUGGAUGAUAAUAGGUGUUUUUCUGGGUUCGGAAGGGUGUUCAUUAAAAUUAUUGAUUGGUGAAUUCCGGUGGUGGAUUUAAUUUCAAUAUGCUUUAGAAAAGUCUGUU
rnacentral:lncRNA from 1 species